rnacentral:rRNA from 1 species
UCAGCUCGUCGGCUGUCGGCUGGGUGGGGACGUAACAAAGCGACCCAGGAAUGCUUGGGCGUGCCUCCACCCACGCCGGCGUCGGCGGGCGUAUUUCGCCUCACAGUAGGUCGCCGCGACCCGUUGCUUUUGGGGACGUCGAAGGCCCGGACGGAUUGGUACCCUACCGGCUGGGGAUGCGGCUUCGGCUUCUCCUCUUGUCCGGUGGGCGAAACCGCCGGUGUCCUGGCUGCCCUGCGACGGUCGUAGAGACGAGCCCUCCCCUUCGGGGGGGCGGCUCUCGCGGCGUGCAAAAGGUCGGUGAUCCACCCGACCCGUCUUGAAACACGGACCAAGGAGUCUAACAUGUGUGCGAGUCAGUGGGCGCACUAAACCCAGAGGCGUAAUGAAAGUGACACGGGUUCGGCUGUCGCCUCGUGUGGCAGUCGGACUCAGGGCCGAUCCCUCACCGGUUGUCCUCGCCUCUCUCCCGCGUCUCGGUAAGCCGGGUGAGCUAUUUUCCCCGGCCGCUGCUGCGGGGCUCGGGGGGA